rnacentral:rRNA from 1 species
UACAGAGGGUGCGAGCGUUGUCCGGAAUCACUGGGCGUAAAGGGCGCGUAGGUGGUGGCUUAAGCGUGCGGUGAAAGCUCGGGGCUCAACCCCGAGUCGGCCGUGCGAACUGGGCUCACUGGAGCAUAGUAGAGGCAGGUGGAAUUCCGGGUGUAGCGGUGAAAUGCGCAGAUAUCAGGAGGAACACCGGUGGCGAAGGCGGAUCUCUGGGCCAUUACUGACGCUGGAGGAGCGAAAGCGUGGGGAGCGAACAGG